rnacentral:rRNA from 1 species
GACGAACGCUGGCGGCGUGCUUAACACAUGCAAGUCGAACGGUAAGGCCCUUCGGGGUACACGAGUGGCGAACGGGUGAGUAACACGUGGGUGAUCUGCCCUGCACUUCGGGAUAAGCCUGGGAAACUGGUUCUAAUACCGGAUAGGACCCUGGGAUGCAUGUCCUGGGGUGGAAAGCUUUUGCGGUGUGGGAUGGGCCCGCGGCCUAUCAGCUUGUUGGUGGGGUGAUGGCCUACCAAGGCGACGACGGGUAGCCGGCCUGACGAGGGUGACCGGCCACACUGGGACUGAGAUACGGCCCAGACUCCUACGGGAGGCAGCAGUGGGGAAUAUUGCACAAUGGGCGCAAGCCUGAUGCAGCGACGCCGCGUGAGGGAUGACGGCCUUCGGGUUGUAAACCUCUUUCAGCACCGACGAAGCGCAAGUGACGGUAGGUGCAGAAGAAGGACCGGCCAACUACGUGCCAGCCGCCGCAGUAA